CUUUCCCCUUUUUCUUCCCCUUCGCGUUUGCAAAAUGCAGUUUUCUUUCUGGUUGUCGUUUCUCCUCCGUGUGCGUCUGUGUCGUCUUGUUGUCUCGUGGAAUUUGGAGGAGAAUUCGUCCUUCCAGCUGCUCUCGAGACAUGAUUGAGGUAAAGUUGACAGAAUCAUACGUGGCACCAAUUACCCCGGUCUGGGCCCGUCAGCUGGAGGAGAGCAGAGCCGGAGGAAGUCAAAAGGACGGCUGAGCGUCUCCUCUGUGGGGUCGGAGGCUGAUGCGCUGACGGGGACACACAUCUCUGAUCCGGAGAGUCACUGUGUGUGUGUGUGUGUGUGUGUGUCGCUGACAUUAAGCCGAUACGGAGGUCGACGUUACCACGUUAGCAUUGCCAUUUUUAGCUUUUAGCGUUGCCAUUCACAUAUACCUGUAACAUGUCAGACCGAACCCUACGAGAAAACAAGAGCAGAUUUGAAGUGUUGGAGAUUAUGGAAAUGUCUAAACUCAAACUGAUCAAAGUGCAAUGUUUGAAUUGGAUUCCGCCCUAACGUCCAUAAACACGAUGUUUUAUUACUGCUGCUGAGCUGAACUUUGGAGCGCCAUUACAGACCUCCCAUUGUCCACUACAGUGCUCCCAUCAAUUGUUUGCCAACAAAGCCAAUAAAAGAUUCAGUUUGCGGUUUCAGU